AUAUGUCAGGGCAGAUGCCGUGAUCACAAAGGUGGUUUUCGCAGGGCAAGCCUUACCCACCGCACUCCGGAUGUGCUGACUCCUGUGAUCUCCCCAAAUGUGGGAAACUCAGCAGCAUAAUUUGUGGUAGUGGAGGAUCAGGAAGAGGGUGGGGGAAAGCCUUUC